rnacentral:rRNA from 1 species
UGGUUAAGCUACUAAGAGCACACGGAGGAUGCCUAGGCGCUAGGAGCCGAAGAAGGACGUGGCGAACAACGAAACUGCCUCGGGGAGCUGUAAGCAAGCAUCGAUCCGGGGGUGUCCGAAUGGGGAAACCCGGCUGGGUUAAUAUCCAGUCACUCGUAUCUGAAUUCAUAGGAUACGAAGAGGCAGACCAGGGGAACUGAAACAUCUAAGUACCCUGAGGAAGAGAAAA